rnacentral:rRNA from 1 species
UGGGUCUAAUACUGGAUAGGACCAUCCUUUAUGUGUGAUGGUGGAAAGUUUUUUCGGUUGGGGAUGAGCUCGCGGCCUAUCACUUGUUGGUGGGGUAAUGGCCUACCAAGGCGUCAACGGGUAGCCGGCCUGAGAGGGUGUACGGCCACAUUGGGACUGAAACACGGCCCAAACUCCUACGGGAGGCAGCAGUGGGGAAUAUUGCACAAUGGGCGGAAGCCUGAUGCACCGACCCCCCGUGAGGGAUGACGGCCUUCGGGUUGUAAACCUCUUUCGACAGGGACAAACCUUUUGUGACGGUACCUGUAUAAAAAGCACCGGCUAACUACGUGCCACCACCCGCGGUAAUACUUAGGGUGCGAGCGUUGUCCGGAAUUACUGGGCGUAAAGAGCUCGUAGGUGGUUUGUCGCGUCGUCUGUGAAAUUCCGGGGCUUAACUCCGGGCGUGCAGGCGAUACGGGCAUAACUUGAGUGCUGUAGGGGAGACUGGAAUUCCUGGUGUAGCGGUGAAAUGCGCAGAUAUCAGGAGGAACACCGAUGGCGAAGGCAGGUCUCUGGGCAGUAACUGACGCUGAGAAGCGAAAGCAUGGGGAGCGAACAGGAUUAGAUACCCUGGUAGUCCAUGCCGUAACGGUGGGCGCUUAGGUGUAGGAGGACUUCCACGUCUUCUGUGCCGUAGCUAACGCAUUAAGCGCCCCGCCUGGGGAGUACUGCCGCAAGGCUAAAACUCAAAGGAAUUGACGGGGGCCCGCACAAGCGGCGGAGC